rnacentral:rRNA from 1 species
AGAGCGAACGCUGGCGGCAGGCCUAACACAUGCAAGUCGAGCGCCCGUAGCAAUACGGGAGCGGCAGACGGGAGAGUAACACGUGGGAACGCGCCCUUCGGUUCGGAAUAACUCAGGGAAACUUGAGCUAAUACCGGAUACGCCCUUACGGGGAAAGAUUUAUUGCCGAAGGAACGGCCCGCGUCCGAUUAGCUAGUUGGUGAGGUAAUGGCUCACCAAGGCGACGAUCGGUAGCUGGUCUGAGAGGAUGACCAGCCUCACUGGGACUGAGACACGGCCCAGACUCCUACGGGAGGCAGCAGUGGGGAAUAUUGGACAAUGGGCGCAAGCCUGAUCCAGCCAUGCCGCGUGGAUGAUGAAGGCCUUAGGGUUGUAAAGUCCUUUUAACGGGGAAGAUAAUGACGGUACCGUAGAAUAAGCCCGGCUAACUUCGUGCCAGCAGCCGC